UACGAAGGGGGCUAGCGUUGCUCGGAAUCACUGGGCGUAAAGCGCACGUAGGCGGAUUGCUAAGUCAGGGGUGAAAUCCUGGAGCUCAACUCCAGAACUGCCUUUGAUACUGAGGAUCUUGAGUUCGGGGAGAGGUGAGUGGAACUGCGAGUGUAGAGGUGAAAUUCGUAGAUAUUCGCAAGAACACCAGUGGCGAAGGCGGCUCACUGGCCCGAUACUGACGCUGAGGCACGAAAAGCGUGGGGGAGCAAACAGG
rnacentral:rRNA from 1 species